UUAUGCAUUGGUUCCAGAUGUCGCACCCAGACAAGCUAACCUAGCCAGGGGGUAACCAUGCCCUCUUGGCUCCUGAAGUGUGAAAGAUAUAGUCUCUUCGUCCUGGAAGACAGUGGAAGCCGUGGUGCUUUGUGGCAAGCUGAGAAACAUGACAGCCGAGGACACGGAAUUAAUGGAAGUCAUAAAGUUUUACCUCCACGACAUGUGCUCUUGAGAUCAUGAAGCUGUAGUCAACGACAAGCAGCGACUGACUGCAAGCAUGGGAUGCAGAACCACUGUCUAACCACAAGGAGAACAUCCAACAAACCCAAAUAGAAGAACAUUCCUUAGAAUACUGGACCUGUGCUCCUCAAAACU